CUACGGGGGGCUGCAGUGGGGAAUAUUGCACAAUGGGCGCAAGCCUGAUGCAGCCAUGCCGCGUGUAUGAAGAAGGCCUUCGGGUUGUAAAGUACUUUCAGCGGGGAGGAAGGAAGUAAAGUUAAUACCUUUGCUCAUUGACGUUACCCGCAGAAGAAGCACCGGCUAACUCCGUGCCAGCAGCCGCGGUAAUACGGCGGGUGCAAGCGUUAAUCGGAAUUACUGGGCGUAAAGCGCACGCAGGCGGUUUGUUAAGUCAGAUGUGAAAUCCCCGGGCUCAACCUGGGAACUGCAUCUGAUACUGGCAAGCUUGAGUCUCGUAGAGGGGGGUAGAAUUCCAGGUGUAGCGGUGAAAUGCGUAGAGAUCUGGAGGAAUACCGGUGGCGAAGGCGGCCCCCUGGACGAAGACUGACGCUCGGGUGCGAAAGCGUGGGGAGCAAACAGGAUUAGAUACCCUGGUAGUC
rnacentral:rRNA from 1 species